rnacentral:lncRNA from 1 species
UUUUCUUCUCAGCUAUGUGGUGGCCCUUAGUUAUCCUCAAACAUCACUGGGCUCACAAACACCCAUAAAAAGUUGAAGGAGGCUAUAGUUCAUACGGUGAGGUCUGUGAUGGUUGUUAUUGUUGAUGACAACUCCACUAAAACAAAGCAGCAGAAAAAUGGGAAUCCAAGCAGUCUCGGGAGGUGACAGGACAGACACAUUGUGGGGUUUUCUCCCUCAAAUGAUACUAAGGAACUCUGUUGCUUGGAGACCUGCAUUUUUCUACCUGUGCUCAAAACAGUGGACAUUUUUAAUGCAGCCAACAAUGAUGAAGUAG